UGCAUGCAUGGUUUUAUCCUUCUCAAAACCGUUCAUAAAAAUUUACAAAUGCAGUAGAGGAUCGAGGAAUUCAAACCAUAAAUGCAGUUCCCUAUGGAGAGCUGAAAAUGCAGGGGUGAUCUUUGGUUCCAGGAAUAAAUAGUGAAACCAUUCUUCAACGAAAUGCUCACAGAGCUUCUAAACCAAUGAUUAUCCCCUCUUUCCCUAAUAACCAACAUAAGACAUCUAAACCAAAUGAAGAAAUGCUUUUACUAUCUAAACUAUCAACUCUCACUCACAUCACAUACCGAUGCUCAAAUGAAUUAUUACCACAAAGCCUUUCCCUAGCAUUGGUCAGUAGUAACACAAGCACAUUAAUCAUUUCCCUCUCUUUUCAACUUCUGACAUGUCAAAAAGAGAACAUUUCGUAAACAUACGCAGCCCGCACGCAAGCACACAGUCCUACACUACAUAUAUAUGUCCAUGAUUUUCUCAUAUUAGAAUCCUCUGAGAUGAGUGCCAGACUUUGUGCUAGGACCACCAACACAGUGCUAGCUGACCUCCCUCUUCCCUCGUCAUAUCAUCCUUGUAAUCCUGUUUAAGCAUCGAUUGAGCCGCUUGGUUGUUCGCACCAAUCACUGCAGCCUUCCAGCCAGCAUAGUUUCCACUAGGGUCACUCAAGUAAAGUUGAAAACCGAAAUUCUUGUCCCCAACCCGCAAACAAAAAUGAAACACCAAAGGGCCGGAGACCACCAAACUGUGUGUAGCCCUGCUUAGUAUCACAAAGAGAUUGAACAAGCUGCUCAACGGGCAUUGGUUCUUGGUACGCAAACAUAUAGCGCUGAGCCUGGACCCUAGAAGUGUUUAUCAGGAUGUUGGCAUCAGACAUUAUGCCAGCCACAGCACAAGCAACAUGAUCAUAAAUCUUGUGUUGGAUAUUUAUUCAUUAUUGUUAUUUGAUUUAUUUAGUUAAUUUGCUUCUGCUAAUAAUCCCUAUUUACCAGGAAACAUGGUUAGUGUUUGACCUGAUCUUUAGGAGAAUCCCAAUAGUCUAGGGUUGUUAGACGUGAGAUAUUUUGUUGCUUAAUUUUCUGAUUACUUGUUCCCUGUACGACUAUUUAUGCCAGUCUUUGGAGUCAAUGAAUGAUAGAACAUUCACUCAGACUUUCGCACUCUUUAGCUUUCAAAGUUCUAGUUCUUAACAUCUUGUACAUUUUCUCAGUGGAAGUUGUGGAGUGGAGGAGUUUGGAUGUGACUUUCUUCUCACCAACUAAGAUAACCCCAUCUUUUGACAAAAUCCCAAUUGCAGUACCCGCAUUUCCAAUGGCCUCCAUUGCAUACUCAACUUGGUAGAGACGACCCUCAGGGGAAAAGAUGGUUGUACGGCUAUCAUAUCUCCUAGACAUCUUUGAUAAUAACUGUGAACGUUUGUGAAAUAAUGGUAUUAAAUUUUAUCAUUUUUUUCUUCUGAGAUAAUGGUAUUCAAUUUAUAUAAGAUGAAACAAGGGAAACCCAGAAAUCCAAAUAUGAACACAGUUAAAAAUUCCAACAGCUCAAGGUUUUCUACAAUCCAACAAAGCCAAAUAGCAUCAAUUGGGUAGCAUACAUAUGUGAAAUACUGAAAAAUCACAAAUCAGAUGCAAUAAACAUUAAAAUUAAUAAUAAUCACAAGACGCAAAUUAAAAAUGAACUUGGUCGAAAUUGAGACAAUGUAAGCAGCCCCAUCGCACAAACUAAUUGAAAUGACAAUCAUACAAGAAUACGGGCCUUACCCAGUUUCGCUUGCUCUCUCUUGGUUCAGAUGCUUGACAAAGUUUACGCCUUUUGCCGCCUACUCAGCUCUCAGCUCCCUAUUCUAGUAUUCUUCUUCUUCCUCCCCAAGAAAUAACCAAGGCUUUGUUUGCUCUGGCAUCCGGGGCUCCGAGUAGGGGCCUUUGUAGAAAUUGGGUCAAAACUCUGAGGCCGAAAGUAUCGGCCUUUUUUUACACGGGUAGCCCAAACAUUGUUGCUUGCGCAGGUAACCCAAUAAUAUUCAAUUGUCUAGGCUCAACUAUUUCAGUGGACCGGAGUGUUUUUUAGGUCGAAAGUGGACCGGAGUUAAGUCCAGAUAUUUGAGGUAAAUCUUUUAGGGCUCGUUUGGUACGUCGGACUGUACUGACUAAUUUUCGUCGGAUAGUAUUAAUUUAUUUCGGAGAGUACUGACUAUUUAUCCAUAAUAUUAUAAGGCGUUUGGUGCUGUUCCGGAUAAAUAAUUUGACUAAGUUAUACUGUGUUUGGUGAUGUUUCAGAUAACAUCAUAUCAGACUAUUUAUAAAUAAAAAAAAUAUAAAAUUUUUUUUGAUAAUUUUAAUGGAAAUUGAGAUUCAAAUGACACAAAUUUUUUUUGGUAAGAUUCAUAUGACAAUAUUUGUUUUUCAAUUGUUUUUGCCAAGAUUUUUUUUCAUAUAACCCAUUAUCAUAAUUGUAGUAUCUCAUAAAAAUUCCAACAUACUCGCAUACGUUAAUAAAAACAGUAUCAAAUAAUGUAUAAUUCAAAGUGAUCACAUAUUAAGGUAAUAAGAGCAAAAGAGAAAGUUGUUCAUAAACCAAACUACAUCAAAGAGUGAAUCACAACUCCCUCGCCUCAAGUAAGAGAAAAACAAAUGCUUUUCUCAUAGCACCAUCCACUGUCAGGAAUAUUUUUUUUAUCAUUUGCUUUCUCCAAAAUUAGCCGUAGUGCCUUAAUUUGGUCAUUAAUAGACAAGUCCAUCUUUGCUUUUCUAAUAACAAUUGACAAAGAAAAAAAAAUGGUUCUUAGAAUUCAGUUUCAUACAUUUUUAAUUUUAUAAUUUUGCUCUUCUAGUCGUCAGGUAUGUAUGUAUUCAACUAAACUACCAAUACUAGCACAGUUGUUUGUUUUUGGAUGAAAACUGGCAAUACUCUGUUUAAUACCAACAAUCUAAAUAUUCCCACAACGUCGAAUCACUAUAUCACAUACAAAAAAAACAUUCGAUUAAAAAAAGUACCAAAAAAAAAAAAUUCAUAACCUAAUUUCUACUAAAAAUUUGAAAUAUAUAAAGCAUAUUGGAGAGAGUAUGAAAAAAGAGAGAAAGUGAGUGAUGGAUACCUGGAGAAGAGUGAAGAAAAUAACAUGUGGAGAAGAUAGUAGAGAACAACCCUAGGGAGAAGAAGAUGAAAAGAGCAUCUGAUUUUUUUUGUAGAACUCGUGUUCUUUUUCCCUAGCCUUAUAAUUAAGCGUGUAUUAUCUAAACCGGGGUGUGUGGGUUGUAUUAGUUAGUUAGGUAAGGAGAGUAUUAAAAGCCCAACCCGUAUAAAAUAGUCGGGUAAUUAAAUAAUACAAGUUGACACCAAACACCUGACAUAGACUAUUUACUCAUAUCCAGAGUCUAAUACGAUGUACCAAACGAGCCCUUAGCUGUUAUAAAAUAAUCUGGAAUACGUGCGAAUAUUGAGCUGCACGUAAAGUAGAUGAGACACAGUAUUUAGCGAGGUUCGGCUAUGCCUACAUCCCCGGAGAGCAGCAGUAGUAACUUUUCCACUAUGUAAAAUAAUAGGGCUACAACUUUAGAGUUUACAAUAUGUGAGGCUCACUGAAUUUUCUCUCUGCUCACUCACCCUAUUUCUUCCUUCUCUUCCUCCUUUCUCUUUCUUCUCUCUUUCCUUCUUUCCUUUUCUUCUCUCUUUCCUCCUUUCCUUUUCUUCUCCCCGUUUCCUAUCUCUUUCUCUCUUCUUCUUUUCCUCUUCUCUUUCUCUCUUCUUCUUUCUCUAUUUAUAGACAUGUUAAAUGGCACCCGUGUUUCUACAAUACACAUCCGUGAGUGUGCAGCCAAAUACUUUGCUUAAUUUUCUUUGUGGGCCCCAUAAAUGUGGGCUCCACAUGUUUCUUCUUUACAACAUUAGCAAUUUCUUUUGGAGAAAAAAGAGAGGGAAAGCCAAGGAAAGAGAAAUUUUUAAAGAAGUCAAAUGGACAAAUGCCUUGUGAUAUAUAGGUUAAAUUGUAGCUAUGGUUUCUGAAAUAUAGUCCGAGUUGUAUUUUCAUCUUUCAACUUCAAAAAUAGGUGUUUUCCAAUAGGUCUUGCAUUGCAGCGUUUAUCCUUUACGUCAAGUCUGUCUAAUUUACCUCUCAAAAAGUCAACUAAAUUGAUAAUUGUAUACCUCAAAUUGAUGGAAUUUAACGAAAUGACCAAUUUGACAUAUGUGAGAGAGUUGGAGGAUGAGUAAAACUAAAAAAAUUAGUUGAAUGAUCAAAAUGAAACCGGGUAUGACCAUUCGAUNNNNNNNNNNNNNNNNNNNNNNNNNNNNNNNNNNNNNNNNNNNNNNNNNNNNNNNNNNNNNNNNNNNNNNNNNNNNNNNNNNNNNNNNNNNNNNNNNNNNNNNNNNNNNNNNNNNNNNNNNNNNNNNNNNNNNNNNNNNNNNNNNNNNNNNNNNNNNNNNNNNNNNNNNNNNNNNNNNNNNNNNNNNNNNNNNNNNNNNNNNNNNNNNNNNNNNNNNNNNNNNNNNNNNNNNNNNNNNNNNNNNNNNNNNNNNNNNNNNNNNNNNNNNNNNNNNNNNNNNNNNNNNNNNNNNNNNNNNNNNNNNCAAAAAUCUUGAACUCCUUUUAAGAAACUUUUUUGAACCAUUAGAUUAAUAUCUAACGGUGAGUAAUCACAAUCUCUUGGACUCCUGUGGUCCAAGAGAUCAAGACUAUUAAAAAAAGAUAACACGAGCAGUUAUGUUUCAUAAAAGUAGGAUCUAUUAUUUAUUUUAAUUUUUAAUUUUAAUUUAUUUUAAUAUGAAAAAAUAUAAAUUUACUAUAUUAUUCUCAUUUAAUUAAUAAUUUCAAUUCUCAAUUCUUAAUUAUUAUCCUCAUCGAAGUGUUGCCUUGGCUGCUGCUGAAUUGGUUUAUAUAGCUAAAAUGUUUAAAGACAUUGGCUUCUUUCUAGGCACUCCUCCUCUUCUCUGGGUGGACAAUCAACUGCUAUUUCUUUGGCUUCUAAUCGUGUGUUUCAUACCAGGACUAAACACGUGGAGGUUGAUUAUCACUUCACACGAGAAUUGGUGCAAAAUGAUUAAUCAGCUUCCUGACAUUUUUACAAAGUCUCUAUCUUCCUCUCUUUGUGUAUCUUCCAUCCAAGCUUUCAGUUUGUGACACUACCUUCAGCUUGAAGGGGCUGAUAGAUAUAUCUCCACAUCUAAUUCUAGCCUUUCAUUAUAGAGUUGUUAAUUUCUGUUUAGCUUUAUUUUAAUAAAUUGUAAAGCUGUCAUUAAUGUACAUCUAUAUUAUUACAAGUGUAUAUAAACAAUUCAAUGUAAUCAUUAUUGUUUAAUAAAAUGAGAAUACAAUUUUAGUUUUCUCACAAAAUAUUGAAGGAGAAUUAGAAAGUGGAAAAGUCAAGAAGUAGAGGAUUAGUGUCAGGACUUUUAGGCCUGAGGAAACAGUACUGAAGUUGACAAUGAGUAAGAGAUUCUUUGAUAUUAGCAAAACUAACACGACAAACAUGCCAAAUGUUGGGAUUUUGGGUGACUGAUUUUGAAAUUAAAAUGUUGUAGUGGUGACGUUGUCGAAAAUGUUAGGUGAGAGAAGAACAUAUCAUGUAUUCAUUUUCUAGCCAUCUAUAAAUUGUUUUUUUUAAAUAAAAACAUUAACAACAUUACAUGUAAAACUUGACCCCAAAAAUAAAUAAAUAAUUACAUGUAAAACAAUUGAGUGAUGGGGGCCAUUGCAUUAUUCCCCUUUGGAUUUAUGCAUGCAGGAGGAGCUAGUAGGCUUCGCAUUUAUGGGUAGAAUGGACAUUAUUGGACAACCUUAGGUAUGCAUAUAUAGGAAAACGUCCAAAAUCCAUAAAGUUGGGACGUACGUGGUGGUGCAUGCAUGUUGGUAUUUGAUAUUGAUAUUUUAUUCCCACCCAAAAUAUUACAAACGAAUGCAGUCAAAAAAUAACUCAAAACCAGUGCACACUCGCGUCACGUGCUUCUGCAGACACAAACUAGUAAGCAAUUCACAGAGGACAUAGCCACAGAGGGGGAGCAGAUCGAUGCAAAUUAUUAAGUUUUUCUUUAAGCCAAAAAACUCAGCACCGACAUGACUUAAUAAUUAAGAUUACCACAGUAUAUCGAUCUGAUACACUAUCAGAUAAACAAAAAACAAAACAACAAAUUACAGAAAUUGAUCCCUCAAGAAGUAGAUUUCACUUCCAAGCUUUCACAUGCUAUUAAUUAUUAGCUGACACAUAUUAUGCUAAUCAAUUAAACCACAGUGACCACUAAUUGGGAUAUUUAGAACUGUGCUGUGGUGAUGAUCAACUUCAACUAUGCAGGGCACUGGAAUCCAGAGGGUGGAGUUUUCCCACAGUCAAUCAGAACCUGAAGAGCGAUGGGGAUGAUGAUGUUGAUGUUGAGAAGCUUAGCCUUGAUGGUGGUGCAAAGGCAAAUUGCAGCAUCCAAGUCCACCAGCCCUUGAAGCACUGGACAGCAUGCAUCCUUGGCACUGCUGCCAAUUCCAAUGUGAAUGAGGCCACCCAACACAUCCACACAAGCUCCCAACUUGAGAGUGUCGAUGGGACACGUGUUCUUUGGUGGUGAUGGGGUUGGCACUGGUGUUGGUGGUGGUGGAGGAGGACAUGGUGUCUCAGUGGGUGGAGGAGGCUUAACUGGUACAACUGGGGUAGGUGUAGGUGUUGGUGGGCUUGGUGGUACAACAGGUGGUGAUGGUGGUGGCUUAACUGGUACAACUGGGGUAGGUGUUGGUGUUGGUGGGCUUGGUGGUACAACAGGUGGUGAUGGUGGUGGCUUAACUGGUACAACUGGGGGCUUGGGUACAUAGGGUGGUGGGGGUUGUACAACUGGGGGCUUGGGUACAUAUGGUGGUGGUGGUUGUACAACUGGGGGUUUGGGGAUGAAGGGUGGGUGCACAAUUGGGGGUUUAGGGAUAAAAGGUGGGUGCACGAUUGGGGGCUUGGGGAUGAAGGGUGGGUGCACAAUUGGGGGCUUGGGGAUGAAGGGUGGGUGCACAAUUGGGGGUUUAGGGAUGAAGGGUGGGUGCACAAUUGGGGGUUUAGGGAUGAAGGGUGGGUGCACAAUUGGGGGUUUAGGGAUGAAGGGUGGGUGCACAAUUGGGGGCUUGGGGAUGAAGGGUGGGUGCACAAUUGGGGGCUUGGGGUGGGGUGGUGGUUUGACAAUAGGAGGCUUGGGGAUGAAGGGAGGUCUCACAAUAGGUGGUUUGGGGACAGAAGGAGGUUUUGGUAUAUGGGGAGGAUAUACAAUGGGGGGUUUGGGGCCAUGAGGUGGCUUGGGUACAUGGGGUGGAUGAGGAUGAGGUGGCUUUGAUGGUGGCUUGGGAACAUAGGGAGGCUUUACAUGAGGGGGAUGGGGUGGUUUUGAUGGUGGUUUGGGAACAUAGGGAGGCUUUACAUGAGGAGGAAGAGGUGGUUUUGAUGGUGGUUUGGGAACAGAGGGAGGCUUUACAUGAGGGGGAUGAGGUGGGUGUUUAGGUGGUUUAGGGAUGAAGGGUGGCUUUACAUGAGGAGGCUGUUUGGGUGGCAAGUGUGGAGGGUAUGUUGGUGGUGGACAGUAGGAGUUAGCAAGAGAAGUGAGCAAACUACCCAAAUUCACAAUGAGGACUAAGAGCAAAGCCAGGGUAUAAUUCCCCAUGUUCAAAACUCCACAACCCUCAAAAGAGUUGG
rnacentral:lncRNA from 1 species